rnacentral:rRNA from 1 species
CCUACGGGAGGCAGCAGUGGGGAAUAUUGGGCAAUGGGCGCAAGCCUGACCCAGCAACGCCGCGUGAAGGAAGAAGGCUUUCGGGUUGUAAACUUCUUUUCUGAGGGACGAAGAAAGUGACGGUACCUCAGGAAUAAGCCACGGCUAACUACGUGCCAGCAGCCGCGGUAAUACGGAGGUGGCAAGCGUUAUCCGGAUUUAAUGGGGUUAAAGGGCGUUGAGGCGGGAAAGCAAGUCAUAUGUGAAAACUCAGGGCUCAACCCUGAGCCUGCAUUUGAAACUGUUUUUCUUGAGUGCUGGAGAGGCAAUCGGAAUUCCGUGGGUAGCGGUGAAAUGCGUAGAUAUACGGAGGAACACCAGUGGCGAAGGCGGAUUGCUGGACAGUAACUGACGCUGAGGCGCGAAAGCGUGGGGAGCAAACAGGAUUAGAUACCCGAGUAGUC